rfam:Gossypium raimondii Chr02_contig_42, whole genome shotgun sequence.
CAUUAAAAACUUCAUCAAUUUGUACAGUUAAAAAACUGGCAUUGCUUCUGAAAUAACCAUAUAGUAACAUGUGGCUGCCACGUGUAACUCGUGCUGACGUACUUAGACUAAUUUUUAACAGUAGAUAUGGAUGAAAAUUUUAACA